AUAAAUUGGUAGAUUUAAAAUUUGAAUCUAUUCAUGAAUAUAGACUUUGAAAAAUUUAAAACCCAUGACAUUUCAUUAAUAAUAUUUCUAUAAAAUAUGAAAACAUUAUUAGAAAAUACAAAAAAAAUUGAAUAAUAAAAGUAUGAAACAAAAGCAAAAAAAAAAAAAAAAAAGACUUACAGCACCACCGAUUUCACUAACCCUAUUCACUCCCGUUCAAAAUUUUCGUUCCUCAAUUUUCGCGGCUCCUUCCACCUCCAAAUUUUCGUUCCCUCAACACUAAUGUUCUCCCUCACCGAUUUCGUUUAAUUUUCUUGAAGUUGUCCGGC
rnacentral:lncRNA from 1 species